UGAGCCAAGUUUAGGGUUUUCUCAAAACCCAAGCAGUAUUGAACUGAAGAGUUUGAUCAUGGCUCAGAUUGAACGCUGGCGGCAGGCCUAACACAUGCAAGUCGAGCGGAUGAAGGGAGCUUGCUCCUGGAUUCAGCGGCGGACGGGUGAGUAAUGCCUAGGAAUCUGCCUGGUAGUGGGGGAUAACGUCCGGAAAGAUGAAGGGAGCUUGCUCCUGGAUUCAGCGGCGGACGGGUGAGUAAUGCCUAGGAAUCUGCCUGGUAGUGGGGGAUAACGUCCGGAAA
rnacentral:rRNA from 1 species